rnacentral:rRNA from 1 species
GACGAAGACUGACGCUCAGGUGCGAAAGCGGGGGGAGCAAACAGGAUUAGAUACCCUGGUAGUCCACGCCGUAAACGAUGUCGACUUGGAGGUUGUGGCUUCCGGAGCUAACGCGUUAAGUCGACCGCCUGGGGAGUACGGCCGCAAGGUUAAAACUCAAAUGAAUUGACGGGGGCCCGCACAAGCGGUGGAGCAUGUGGUUUAAUUCGAUGCAACGCGAAGAACCUUACCUGGUCUCGACAUCCAGGUGCUGCAUGGCUGUCGUCAGCUCGUGUUGUGAAAUGUUGGGUUAAGUCCCGCAACGAGCGCAACCCUUAUCCUUCGUUGCAACUCAAAGGAGACUGCCAGUGAUAAACUGGAGGAAGGUGGGGAUGACGUCAAGUCAUCAUGGCCCUUACGACCAGGGCUACACACGUGCUACAAUGGCGCAUACAAAGAGAAGCGACCUCGCGAGAGCAAGCGGACCUCAUAAAGUGCGUCGUAGUCCGGAUUGGAGUCUGCAACUCGACUCCACGAAGUCGGAAUCGCUAGUAAUCGUGGAUCAGAUGCCACGG